UGUUUAUUUUGUUCAUUUGCUUAAUUUUCUUAAACUUUUUUUCCUUUCUCUAUUAAUCAGAAAUGACAAAGACAAUACUGGAAUGGAAGCCAGAUCUCACCAAAGAAGUAGAUAAGAAUGGAUGGUCUCCACUUCACUAUGCUGCAGAGAGAGGUUGUGAUCCAGAAAUAGUGAGGCUAUUGCUAGAAAAAUCAGAAAAGAGUGUAGCCUACCUUAGGAGCAAAGAUGGGAAGAAGACUGCCCUUCAUAUUGCAUCUUUCCACCAUCAUACAAAAAUAGUAGAGAAGAUCCUAUCUCACUCUCCUGGUUGUCGGGAGCAGGUUGAUGAUAAGGGCAAUAAUAUUUUUCACUUUGCCAUGAUGAAAGAGGGAGACGAUGAUUUUAACCCUAGUAGUUACUUCUUCAAUUAUUGGUUAAGGUCGAGAGGACUUGUAAAUGAGAAAAAUGCUCAAGGAAACACACCCAUCCACCUGCUCUCUCUUAAUCAAAUUUUAGAUUUUCGGUUUGUAUGGAAUUAUAAAGUGGAUAAGAAGGCGUACAACAAUGAAGACUUGACAGCUUAUGACAUAAUUUUGAGGGACAAAGAGGACAUUUCCGAGGAAAAGGUAAGACUCCCACAUAACUUCAAUUAUAUGUUUAUUGGCAAAUGCUAGUUUAAUUUACCCCGUUUCUCAUUUCUUUGAGCUGUGUUAUGUUUUGUUAUUUUUGGUAUGUUUGGAUUCCUUCAACCUAAACUUACCAUCCUUUCAGUCAUAGCCAAUCGAUUCAUGUUGGGAAUAAGAUCCAUCGCAUAAGCGUUAGCUAGUUUCUUAUUUUCUUGUCUCCAAAGUUUCAGGAUGGGAUAAUAGAGAAGGAAAAGAAAGAAAUAGAGGAAAAAAAUUACAAAAUGUUUAUUUCUUUUCAUUGUUCAUUGAGAAAUUAAGCAAAAGAAAUUUAAAUUUAAGAGGAAUGUACUUAGCAUAAACUUUUUUUUUUCAUAAAAAAAAAAGGGAAAUGAGAAAAAAAAUUGUUAGUAUCUUUUAUUUAGUAAUUUUUUUCUAAUCAUUUUUUCACUUGUAUCCAAAUGUUGAAAAAAGAAAAAAAAAACCAUCUUUCUUAAUUUUUUUUUUCCAUUACUUUCCAAAAUCAAAUGUAGUUUAAGAUUAAUUUGAGGAAAAGAAAAGGAAAAAGAGAAGAAAAUAAAAAGAUAAUAACAAUUUAUAAAAUUUUCUUUUAUUUUAUUGUUCAUAAAAAAAUUGAGAAAAAAAUUUAAAUUGUUGAGAAAUGCACUCUUUCCAAAUUUUUUCCAAUUUUUCUAAGGAAAAUAUUUUAUUUUUUCCAUUUUAUUUUAUUUUUUUAUAUUUCAUGAAUUCUUCUCAUACUAUAUUUAGUUUAUGAAAAACACUAAGGCUCUAUUUAUUUCAUUGUAAUUUUUUUUUCUAUUUUCUUUUCUUAAAAUUCUCCCUUAUGGUUUCUUUAAGAAAUAAACAUAGCCUUAUAAUUUGUUUUAGCUUUUUCUUUUUUUAUGACUAAAAAUAGUUUUAAGAUUUCUCAAGAACAUCAAGAAAACAUUUUUUCUUUUCCACAUUUUAAUUAUUUUUACCACAUUUUAAAGCAGUAGAAGGUGAAUAAGAUAAAGAGUUAAUAAAAUUUUAUUUUGCCUUUUCUUUUUCUUUUUAUCCUCAUGGAAUUAUUACCUAUACCUCCUAGAUGCAAAAAUAUGGUAAAACUAAAGGACGAUUCUUUUGUUUAUCUUUGUUGUUGAGAUCAUUGCAAAACAUGCGUUCCAAAACUUAUGAGGGUUAAAAAAUAAAAAUAAUUAAAAAUGAAAGGAAAGUUAGAACAUUUUUCCUUGUUUCUAAAUUAAUUGGAUUUAUUGAAUAAUUUAUGUUGAUGUUCAGAUUAAAAUGAAUUGGCACUCAUCAUCCUAUUUUUAUUAAGAAGUUUAGAUUAACCCCAAAUCUCUAGGAAUAAAUAAGCUUGAUUUGAUGUAUUUAAUUAAAGGUUGGUUAAGUUUGAUUGAUUUAUCACUUGUAUCAGAUUUUCAUUCAGCUUGUUUACCCACCAACGAGUGACUGAAUGUGAAAAAAGUGGAUUCAUCAAUUGAAUUAAAUUUAAAUGUUCCUCACAUCUGAUUUCAGGAUCGCAUCCAAUCUUGGUUGGAGGCUGUUACGACUGGACGUAUUUCUUCGUUUUGGGAGAAGGAAACUAAGAGACAGGAGAUAGAGCAAGAAAGGAAAGAAUACAUCUCUCAAUUACAAAAACAAGGGGAAACCCAUUUGAUAGUUUCUGCGCUUAUAACAACAGUAACUUUUGCUGCGGGUUUCACCUUGCCCGGUGGUUACAAAGAGGAUGAUGGCCAGGCAAUUUUAUCAAAGAAAGCAGCCUUUAGAGCAUUUGUUGUGACGGAUACCAUAGCCAUGGUAUCUUCACUAUGCGCCGUAUUUCUUCACUUUUUGAUGACCCUGCACAAACGUGGGAAGUUCCUUGAAAAACAUUUACUUUGGGCCUUUAGUUUGACCAUGGUUGGGAUGGGAGCAAUGGCCAUCGCUUUCGCAACCGGCUUGUACGCUGUUUUACCGCAUUCCUCGGGCCUUUCAGUUCUCACUUGCAUCCUCUGCUCUUGCUUUUUCCUCUCCAUUGCAGUUGAAUAUUGUAAAUUUUGGAGAGGUACGAUUUCGGAAUGGAUGUUUGGAUGAGCUAUUUUCUGAGAGGAGAGAGAGAACCGGGUCUGAGCUAACUGAUAUCCGAAGCAAGGAAAGCUGAAAGUAGGGAAUCAAAAUGUACUCAUUUGAAUGGGAAUUAUAUUUUAAAUCUGGGUGGAGUAUUGAACUCAUUUGUCAAUGGAUACAAUUGUGAAUACGAAUAAUGUUAGUAUUGGAAUUCAACGAGAUUUUUUAAUCUACACUAUGCAAUAUUUUAUGAAUUGGGGUUGGACUGGGCUGGCCCAACCAGGAAAUAUCUUCCGCGUUCACAAUUUUUAUAAGUUUAUAUUGAUGAAUGAUGAUGUCAAUUUUUAAUUAUUUUUUUCUAUUAUUGAUUCACAUCACUAAAAUCAAAUUUGUUAUAAACUGUUUUUGAUAAAUUUAUAUUAAUGAUAUCAUUUUUUUUUAUAAACUGUUUUUUCCAUUCAAUUAAAAUUAUUAUUUUUUUGUAUAAUUUCAUUAUGUAUAAAUUAUAUUUGAUGCAUUCAUUUUUUUUUUUUUUUUUUGUGAACUGAUUUUUUAUCCAUGGAUGUCAGUGUAUAAGAUUGGCAGUCAGAAUUUAAUUUCAUGAAUCAAUUCUUAUAAAAUUGAUACUACUAAAGUUAGAAUUGAUUAUUAUGAUCUUUAUUUUAUUUUUAAAAUUGAUUCUAAUAAAAUUGAGAUUAAAAAAUUAGAACUUUAUUCUGUAAAUUAUUUUUUAUAAAAUUUGAAGUGUUGUCUUGGAUUAUAACAAAAGACUUUUUUGGGUGUCUAGCACUUGAAUUGAGAUUACCAUGGCUUAUUUGAGUGUCUAGUCAUUGCGCUGGGAGUGAUUUGAAACAUGAACCUCAUGAUGGAAAAGUAAGAGAUAAGCCACCGAGCAAUAUAUCACAUUACUAAAUAUUUCUGUAUAAUCCUAUAAUGAUUUUUUUCCAACGUUUAUUUUUAUAAUAAUAGGUAUGAAAUUAUAUAAAUUGAUUUUUAAAAUUUUAAAUUAAUAAAAUAUGUGGAUAUAUAGAUAAAAUUAAAUAUUAUAAUUUUUUUUAUCUUAAAUAUCUUUAAACUUAAAUAUUAUAUAUAUUAUAUUUAAUAAAAUUUAAAAUAUUAAUAUAUUUAUACUUAUUUUUAUGAUUCAAUUUAACAUAUUAUAUAUAAAAAAUAAAUUAUUAUUAAAUUUUUAAUUGUUUAUUUUAAAUUUUAUAUAAUAUAUAUAUUAUAUAUUUAUGAUAUAAUUGAUUUGAUCAUUAGUCAACCAUGAAUUUGACUAUUGAAUUAUGAAUUAGUGUCUUUUUUAAGUCAAUAAAUGGUUCAUUUCUAAAAACAUUGUUAACACUUUUUUAUCGGGUGAAUUAAUCAAGAAAUUUAUUCUUGGCUCUUACACUUUGACCUUUUUAAGGUAUUCAGUUUAUUUUUUUUUUUGGUACUUAAACCAUUAAUGUAUUUUUUUUCUUUUUUCUUUUUUUAAAAUAAUUAGUAAUUACUUCAAAUAAAUAAAUAAUAAUUUUCAAAUAAAAAUACAAAUAAAAAGGUGUGCAACCAUCUUUUGGGUGAAGGUUAAGUCACAUACUCACAUAUCAAAAAAGUAAACUCAAAUGUUAGUGCAUUGAAAACAUGUCAACUUAAUAUGCAAUCAAUGAAAAGAACAUUCUGUUAGACCUAAAAUCUAAAAAUCAAUAAUAUUAAUAGUAAAUCAAUUUUUAUAUUAAUAAAAAAGAACAUGGGUUAGAAAAAGUUUGAUUCGGAAUUUUGAGACAUAAAUGUGCUUCCAUAAGAGAAAAUAUGCCACUUCUACAUAGAGUUAAUUGAUCCUCUUCUACCAAAAUAUGAUAAUCUUGUUAUAUAAAUUUGACUUUAAUCAAAUAAGAUCAUUUCACACAAUAGUAGUUUUUUCUAUCAAUAACUUCACACAACUUAUCUAACUUAGAAGAAUCAAGUAAGAGCGACAAAUGUAGGUAUACUAGAAUCUCAUCUUCUUGUAAAAAAUCUCACCUAUUCUUCAUGUUUAGAAAAAGAUAAAGAUACAAAAUUAGUAAAAUAAUAAAAUAAGAAAAUAAAAUGAAUAAUUAUAAAUUUUAAAUUAAAUAUAACACUUUAACCAUUUUUUUUUGGUAUGGAUAAUUUUGUCUACUUCACGCUAAUUUGCUUUCAUUGUGCCUUGUUGCUGGUUUGAUUUUGUAUAAGAGUGAUACUAUCAUUUCAAAUAGAAGUUGAUAAUGAAUAUGCUUAGGGAUGAUAAUGGGUUAAGCUUAGAGGAUAAUCCGCCCCGCCCCGCCCCGCCGUACCCCGCCUCCCCCUUAUUGGAAUGGGUAUGGAAGGCUUUUAUUCAAGUUCGAGAUGGGUUUGGAGAAGCUUUUGAAUACUUGGAUCAGAUAUGGGACGGGUUUGGUUUUACUACGCCCUACCUCACCCUGCCGCGUUUACCAACAUAAUGCGUGCCCUCCACCAUAUACCAUAUUACACAUUCCUUAAAAAGUCAUGUGUAUAAAGUAUCUUUGAAACCUAGUUUUCCACUGCUUCUCUUACUCUUAUUCUGUGAAGCUCCCAAUGACGCUAUCAUGUGUACUGUUGAUGCUGUCCAACGAUGUUACCAUCAAGCUAUUCUUCUGCAUCCCACAAGCUUCGUCACAAAAGAAGACAUCAUCUUCUAGACACACCACUGCAAACCCUAGAUGCACUUCUAGUGUUGAUCUCUGAAGCUCCAUUUUUGAGAAUCGUAGAAAAAAAAUUGAUGGGAUUUGAUUGGUUAACAAGAAAAUUGAAGGGAAAAGAAUUGUAUGUUGGGAUUGUGGGAUGGGUUGUUUUAAUUUUGCAUAUUCCUUUCUGGCUUGUUUUACCAUUUUUCCCAAACUGCACCUGGUCAUUAAAGAGAAUUGUUCAAUACUUCAACUAAAUCUCUCUAUUUUUUUUUUCCAAAUAGAUCUUACAUGUCAAAUGAUAAAAAUACUUUCUUCUUCCACCUCCCAACCCUCCUCAUUCAUCCAAGCAACCCUAUUUCAUCUCUUUUUUAUCCUCUUUUCUUUUCUUUCCUUCAUUUUCUUUAAUCUCCAUCUUUUAUUUCCUUUCAUCUUCUUUCCCAAAGUUGUUAUAACAGUAGUAGUUUUUCAGCUCAGCACACUCCAUGUAUUUUUUUCUCAUUUCCAAAUAAAUAAUUUGUAUAAAAUUAUGUAAUGUAAGUUGUAGAUCUUUUAUAUUUUAAAAAAAUUUCCAAUAAUUUCAAUCUCAAACACUUUAAUAUAAUAAAAUAAUAAAUCAUAUUUUAUAUGCUCAAGAUGAAGUUUAAAUAAAACUUGUUUUAAUUGGUGAGAGUAUGUGUGCAGGCGUGUUGUGCAAGUAUGUGUGCAGGCGUGUUGUGCAAAAACUCCUAUAUAUAUAUAUGUAAGGGAAAUUUGGAACUUUCAAACAUCGCAUUCUCCAUAAAAAUUUCUUACUUUUAUUGAGCAAAAAGGAAAAAAAAAAAUGGUGUGCAUGGCCAUGCUUAAUAUUAAUUUCGUUUUAAUUGUUUCUUUACAUUUUUCUAAUUUUCAUAUUUGUUCACUUCUUAGCACCUUAUCAUGAUUAGAAAAGAAGUAAAAUUAAUGAACAUUUACCAAAACUCUUGCAAUUGUUUACGUCUUAGACUUCAGUAUUGCUCAUCCAUUCUCAGUAGUUAAGAAUGUAAUAGCAAAGGUUAGAACUGACCCUUUCGGUCUACAUGAUGAUAUCUAGGAAACACCAUGACCUGGGAAGAUACAACGCAUCCCAUAUGGUUGUACGGUUACUGCAGUUUUCCUCCAAGACAUGCAGUCUUGAAGGCUACAAUAGUAAGGAAAUCUCAGAGCUUAUUGGAAGCAGAGGGGUGGAAACUUGUGAAGAUAGGCUCCUUAGUAUUCAUAUUUACGGACAAAGUUUCCCAUUCCAAGACAUGCUGAGUGCUGUUUGCUUUUAUCAAUUUGCUAUUGCUUAUCAAAGAUCAAAGACUGUUGUUGCCAUUGUUUCUUUAGUGCAUUACCAUAAACCAUCAAAAACAGGAAGAUGUAUUUUCUUUUCAAAAAUUUAGGCCACCAUCAGCCACAGCAGUCCAAAGCUCCAUCACAUCCUUCCUUGCACGGAACAACAAAAAGCAAGCUCCAUCAUAUCCUUGCUUGCAUGGAACAAUAAGCAACAUUUUCAUAAUUGGUGAUUGAACCAAAAUAGUUGUCAAUUCAAUGAUCGGACUGAUGGUUGAAUUGUGACUAUAGUCAAACUGAUGAUGUUAUAAAUAUAUAAUUUAUGUAUUAUUAAAAUUAAAAAUAAUUAUAUGAAAUUUGAAGAAAUUUAAAAUUUAAAAAUUAUAAAUAAGAUGUGUAAAUAAAAUUAAUGCAAUGAAAGUUUAGAUGGAUGCAUUAACAUUUCCCCAAAACUAAUCUUUAAACUAUUUCCAACUUCUAAUGUGAUGAUAAUUUCUUGUCCUUUAAGAAAAUCUUCUUAAAGGGUUUUUUUCUUAAUUUAAUGAGCAUUGUAUUCUUUUCUUCUACAAACUUUAGUCUUCUUAAUUUAUGGAUGAAUUUCUUGAUGGAUAAUAUUUUUGUGUUUUUUUCCUCGGAGUACAUGAAAUUGAAUCCCCACCCAAGGAAGGUCCGUUCCCAGAAUCCAAGCCUCGAGAAAAACACUCUCUCGCACCACUGGGUUUACUCUAACCCCUUUGGCAAGGCCAAGUCCAUCUAACCCCUUUCUGAUUAGGAUUUCUGUGGCUCAAGGAGGUUGAUUUCCUCCUUAUCUUGAUUGAAUGGCUCCAUGAAUGGUUUGAGACGAUGGCCAUUGACUUUAAAGGUGUCUAUUGUUGGAAUUCAGUAAUUCCACCAUUCCAUUGAGAUGCACUUGGUGAAUAAUGAAAGAGUCUAUCCACCUUGACUUCAGCUUCCCAGGAAAGAUAUGGAGCCUAGAGUCAUAGAGUAAGACUCUUUGUCAUUUCCGGAAUUCUUUGUUGGAGAUUAACUGAUCAUGCCACCUCUUCAUCCUCUGUUUUGCAACUUUGGAAUUGAUGUAGGCAUCAUUUCUUAAUUCCUCCAUCUGAUAAGGUCUAAGCACCUCUUUGCCUUGGCUCUGAUCAAGUCCAUGUUUUUCAAGAAAGUAAUACACAGAGCUUUGCUCUGCCUUAUCUUCUCAUUUUGUUUUCUCGUUAUUUUGAUUUCUAGCAAAUCAAACUCUGAGGAUGUUUUCCUAGAAGAUGAGUGGCUAGGCUUUUUGUUUCUUGGAGUGAAGGAAGCUAGGUAAGGUUCCAGAUGCAAAAUUUGAAGUUUUGUUGUUUCGGUUUUUAAUGAAGAGAAAGUGUGAUCCGUUAAUGGUUUUUAUCUUUUUAGUUAACUUAAAAUCCCUUAAAAUCACUUGGUCCAACACUUGGUAAGGCAAGUGGUCUCCGUCCAUUGAGAUACACUAGUUUAUCUCUUGCAAGCCUCUAAGAGGUGGUUUAAAUGUAGGAUUAUCUAGAAUAGCCAACACUUGGUAAGUUUGUGGACUCCUAGGAGACAUCCAUUAGUUAUCUCUUGUGAGCUUUUGACGGGUAAUCCAAGGUUAAAGAUCACCUUAAAUGACCAAUACUAGGUGAGAGGUAUGAACCAUUGCAAGAUGAUUCAGGGAUUUAGUGUUUGAACCCAUUAAGGGCAAACAUCUGUACCUCACCGGUUUGAGAAAUAACUAUAUGUUAGAUCCCCAAUACGAGGAAAAGAUUCAAGUGACCAGAACUCCCUUUUUGUAUGACGAAUCUGAGCCUAGUGAUAUAAAACUCCAAGAAACACUUUUCUUUGUAAGUAAUUUCCGUUACUUUAUUAUUGGUUUCACUUAAAACCAACAUUUUCAAACAUAUUUAUGUUUUCUUUUAAAGCUAACCUUGAAAAGAAAAAACACUAAUUUAGUUUUUGAACUAAUAUUAGUUGUAAUUUGAAAACCCAUCCCUGUGGACGAUCUUAGAGUCACUAUGCUAUGCUUGCUAAUGCUACCCUAGUAUAUGGUGAAAUAGGUUUAUAAAUUUUGUUGAUCACUCCCGUCUAAGGACAGAAAUCAGAGUACAUCAAUUGAUUGAACACCAAUUUUUUCCACUUUUUCUAAGGAAAAUAUUUUAUUUUUUCCAUUUUUUUUUUAUAUUUCAUGAAUUCUUCUCAUACUAUAUUUAGUUCAUGAAAAACACUAAGGCUAUGCUUAUUUCAUUGUAUUUUUUUUUUCUAUUUUCUUCUCUUAAAAUUCUCCCUUAUGGUUUCUUUAAGAAAUAAACAUAGCCUUAUAAUUUGUUUUCGCUUUUUCUUUUUUUAUGACUAAAAUAGUUUUAAGAUUUCUCAAGAACCAAACAUAACAUCAAGAAAACAUUUUUUCUUUUCCACAUUUUAAUUAUUUUUACCACAUUUUAAAGCAGUAGAAGGUGAAUAGGAUAAAGAGUUAAUAAAAUUUUAUUUUGCCUUUUCUUUUUCUUUUUAUCCUCAUGGAAUUAUUACCUAUACCUCCUAGAUGAAAAAAUAUGGUAAAACUAAAGGACGAUUCUUUUGUUUAUCUUUGUUGUUGAGAUCAUUGCAAAACAUGCAUUCCAAAACUUAUAAGAGUUAAAAAAUAAAAAUAAUUAAAAAUGAAAGGAAAGUUAGAACAUUUUUCCUUGUUUCUAAAUUAAUUGGAUUUAUUGAAUAAUUAAAUGAAUUGGCACUCAUCAUCCUAUUUUUAUUAAGAAGUUUAGAUUAACCCCGAAUCUCUAGGAAUAAAUAAGCUUGAUUUGAUGUAUUUAAUUAAAGGUUGGUUAAGUUUGAUUGAUUUAUCACUUGUAUCAGAUUUCCAUUCAGCUGUUUACCCACCAUUGAGUGAAUGUGAAAAAAAUGGAUUCAUCAAUUGAAUUAAAUUUAAAUGUUCCUCACAUCUGAUUUCAGGAUGAGAUCCAAUUUUGGUUCGAGCUUGUCAUGCCUGAAACUCGUUCUGUGUUUAGGAAGAAGGUAACUAAGAGACGGGAGAGAAAGAAAGAAAGGAAAGAAUACAUUUCUCAAUUACAAAAACAAGGGGAAACCCAUUUGAUAGUUUCUGCGCUUAUAACAACAGUAACUUUUGCUGCGGGUUUCACCUUACCCGGUGGUUACAAAGAGGAUGAUGGCAAGGCAAUUUUAUCAAAGAAAGCAGCCUUUAGAGCAUUUGUUGUGACGGAUACCAUAGCCAUGGUAUCUUCACUAUGCGCCGUAUUUCUUCACUUUUUUAUGACCCUGCACAAACGUGGGAAGUUCCUUGAAAAACACUUACUUUGGGCCUUUAUUUUCACCAGGGUUGGGAUGGGAGCAAUGGCCAUCGCUUUCGCAACUGGCUUGUACGCUGUUUUACCGCAUUCAUCUGGCCUUUCAGUUCUCACUUGCAUCCUCUGCUCUUGCUUUUUCCUCUCCAUUGCAGUUGAAUAUUGUAAAUUUUGGAGAGGUACGAUUUCGGACAUGCUAGGCAAACUAAUCGCUGGAGAAGCUGAAUGGGGGGAAUAAAAAGAAAAGAAAAUGCAGAUGUGUAGAUGAGGGCUCCCAAAUCGAUCUUUGAAUGAGCUAUUUCAUUUUCUGAGAGGAGAGAGAACCGGCUCUGAGCUAACUGAUAUCGGAAGCAAGGAAAGCUGAAAGUCGGGAAUCAAAAUAUGCUCAUUUGAAUGGGAAUUAUAUUUUAAAUCUGGGUGGAGUAUUGAACUCAUUUGUCAAUGGAUACAAUUGUGAAUACCAAUAAUGUUAGUAUUGGAAUUCAACGAGAUUUUUUAUGAAUUGGGGUUGGACUGGGCCGGCCCAACCUGGAAAUAUCUUCCAAAUAGAUGUGGAAGGCAGAGCUGUAUAAGUUUGUAUUGAUGAAUGAUGAUGUCAAUUUUUAAUUUUUUUUUUCUAUUAUUGAUUCACAUCACUAAAAUCAAAUUUGUUAUAAACUGUUUUUGAUAAAUUUAUAUUAAUGAUAUCAUUUUAUUUUUUUUAUAAACUGUUUUUGCCAUUCAAUUAAAAUUAUUUUUUGUAUCAUUUCAUUAUGUAUAAGAUUGGCAGUCAGAAUUUAAUUUCAUGACUCAAUUCUUAUAAAAUUGAUAUUACUAAAGUUAGAAUUGAUUAUUAUCAGCUUAAUUUUAUUUUUAAAAUUGAGAUUAAAAAUAAAAAAUUUGGAUCUUUCUUAAUUCCUUCAAGACUAAUUUUCAUUCUUUUUUUCCCUUUUCUUUUUAAACUUUUCUUUUUCUGAAGAUUAUUUUCUCAAGUGAUGAUUUACUUCACUGCAUUGUCCUCGUUCCAUCAUCAUCAUUUUGGUGGUGGUGAUGGUUGUAAUGGUUGGAAAAUGAAUAGGCAAAUGGUUAUUCAACAAGAAAAUCCUCUCGGAAUUUAGUCUUUGAAUAUGAUUAGUUAUGUCCAAAAGCACAUGUUUGAGAACUAUUUGCUGAAAUUGACAUUUUCAACGAAUCUUGCACUUAAAAGUCCAUGUCAAAUUUCGUCUUACUUUUACAUGUAGUAGAAGUUGUCUCUGAGCCGUUGUAAAAGGAUGCCAAAUUCUUUGAGAAUUGGUUUCUUUAGAUUUCAAUUUCAGGAUUCCGAUCUAGAACUUCUACAUGAUUUUCUCAUAGCAUCCCUCUGAAAAUUGAGGAAAUGGGAAUUAAAAUGUAAGUUUGAACUAAAGAUUUGAGCUAUUCAAGAAUCAAACAUUGAGGCACUUGUUUAACUUUUGUCAGCGGUCAAUAUACUCUGUUUCGUGUCGAAGGAAGAGAUUACAUUUGGAUUUGGGUGCAUUGACAAGUCCCAGACUAUGUAUAUCAAUAUACUUUGGGUUCCAUGGGCCGCCUACAAAAAAGAAAUCAUAGGUUUUGGGAUAGAAUACCAAAGGUAAGUGCCAAAUGAAGUGUUUUUUUUUCCCUUCUUUAUUACAAAGAAGGUCAUGAUUUCUUUCUUAAAACAGGUUUGCAGGAAUGGCAAGGGGAAGGAGGUUGUGUCAGAUAGGGUAUGCAUUUUAGAGGUGCAAGUUAUUGAAGUUUUUGGGAUUUGACUCCUCUUUGUGACACUAUUAUUUCCCUCAGAUUGUUCUUUAGAUGCAUGCAAUGUCAACAGUUUCAAUAUGAAAUUCAUGGCUGAUAAAAGGCCCUCCCUUAUAUCGGCUGUGGAUUUUAAAGCCACAUGACAUGCACUCAUGCUGUGGCACGACCUGUCGAGAUAAUCGAGGCAAGGGAUACUUGAGUACAUUUUAAGAAAAUGGAAUUGUCUUACGCAAUUUGAUCUGUUCCAAAGGAUUUUAUAGGAAGGGAAGCCUGGAGUGGGAUCAAACCAUGGCUUAAAUCCUCUGCUCCCUCUUUCCUACACCAUUUACAAAGACAUUGGUCUGUGGAUGAUGUGGGUCUUGUUCUCUAGAUUGCCCAAAAGCUCAAAAUCCAACUCAAAACAAUUUACAUUAGAAAUCAACACCGGAAUGAGUCUUUUCAUGUUACUCUUUGUUUUAGUCACACACUCAUCUUACAUAGAAAGCUGUCACAACCCUCCCUGCAGAGUUACUCCCAGGUAGCAUUAAUUGCAUGUGGAAAAACCCAACCCACAUCCAAAAGUCUCCAGCGAUGAUUCAAAGGCCCACCCUGUUUACCAUAAAGCAAUUACGGUUAAGACUCUAGAUAUAGAAACCCUUGAUAAGUUUGUUAUGGUGGUAGUAGAAAGAGAAAUAAAGUUGAACGAAAUGAGCAGAGGCAUGGUCGAGAACAAUGUUUUUGAAACUGGAUUAUUUAUUGAAUUGAAAAAAUUACGGGUUUAUGGUUUAGUGGUCAAAUCGGUCAUUGAACCGAGUUUAAACCGGUGAGGUCAUAACUAUAUAAUUUAUAUAUUAAAAAAUAAAUUAAAAAAUUUUAAUGUAAAGAAAUAAAAUAUAAUAAUAUUUAUUUUUCACCUUUGAUAUUAUUAAACUUAAAUCAUGAAUAAAUAUAAAUGUAUUAAUAUUUUAUUUUAUUUAAAUAAAAUAUGUAUAAUCUUUAAAUGUGAAGAAAUAUAUUAAAAUAGAAGAAAAUUCUUUUAUUUAUAUUAUAUUAUUUUCUUAUAUUAAAAAAUUUAAAAUAAUUAUGUUGAUUUAGUUUAUUUUGAAAUUUUAAAUAACAACCAUUAGUAGUAAAGUGGUUAUAGUCCUGACAUGUGAAUUUUAUGGAUUUUUUAAAACUCAUCCCACAUAGGAAGUUGAUAAGGAUGAGAAUGCCUUUAACUGUCCAUUUCAUGAUAUAAUAAGCAUGCAAGAGGGCUCAAGACAGAUCCUUGUCCUGGUCUUAUUAAUUGGGUUGGGCUUCCACCCAAUCUUUUGUUGAGAAGUAAAAAAUGCCAACCUUGAACCAAUGGUUCAAAACUAGUUCAAUGUGUACUUUUGCCCAAAGGCUAUAGAUUGAACCGUGCCAAGCUUUGGUCAAUGGUUGGACCAAUCAAACUAGUUGGUCCAGUCGGAACUUUGUAUAUUUUCUCAAAGGUAGGGCCGCUUUGGGUAUUUGCAAGUAUUGUCUCAUCUAAAACUAAUGGUUAGAAACUCAAUAAAUAACUUGACUCUCUUUUUGUAUAUAUUAUUUUUUGAAAACUAUACUUGCACCUAAAUCAAAAUAUAUCAUCAUCAAUUAUACAAUAUCAUAUAUAUAUAUAUAUAUAUAUAUAUAUAUAUAUAUAUAUAUAUAUAUAUAUAUAUACAUAUUUAAUUGGACUUCUUAUUAUCUUAAUAUCAUAUAUUUAGAGCUCAUUUAAUUGUGUGAUUUAAAAAUAGUUUUUAGUUAUUAAAAAUAAAAAAUUGUUUUUAAUAUCAUUUGACGGUUGUUCUCUGAAAAUGAUUUUUAAAAAUAAAAUGAAAUAAAGAACAAUUUUUAGGAAACAAAUAAAGUUAUUUUCAUAAAUUUUAAAAAAUAAAAAUAAAAUAUGAGUUCGUUUAAUCAUGUUUUUUAAAAUUUGUUUUUAAGUUAAAGAAUAAAAAUAGUUUUUAAAAACAAAUUUAAAAAACAUGGUAAAAAAAGACUGUUAUACUCUCAUUCAAAUGAUCAAGAUUUUGACUUCAGUUUCAUAUGUUGGUAUAUUAAAAAAUUUCUAUAUUAAACAAUUUGGAUAUGAAUCAUAUGAUACUAUAAGUUGGUGCCAUGAAUGUUUCCUGAAAAACAAGAAAGGAAGAAGGGGGGAAGCCCGGAAAGGUGCGGUGGUGGGUGUGAUGAGAAAAGCGAUGAUAUGAUAUAAUUUUUUGUAUUGCAUCAAAGUUUUCAAUAAAGUUUUAAGCAACCAUGAGAGUUGUUCAUCAUGUACCUAACACUUUGGACGGACGAGAUGAUGGCACCUUUUUGACUUCUAUUUCAUGUCACGUGCCUCGAAUAAUGUUAAAAAGCAAAAAAAUUAAAUAUAUACAUAUUUUAUAUUAUUCCAUAAAGUUGUGUUGAAAAUAUCAAUAUAUGUUAUUUAAAUUAUUCCUUAUUUUAUAUUUUUCUAAAACUCAAUAAAUAAUUUUUUGUAAUGGUAUUUCUCAAAAAGUUUAAACUCCUUAAUUUCAAAUAUUAUUUUUCUAACCAUAAAUCAUCUUUGAAAUAAAUAUUUUAAAAAUGAUAGUUUGAUUUAUCAUUUAAAUGUAAGUGUUUUAUAUAAAUUAUUUUAAAUUAACAUAAAAACUUUUUAGUUAUUAUUUGUUAAAAUUUUCGUAUUCUUUCAAAAGAGUAAAAAGUUCAUGUUAUUAAUUGUAAUUUUUUUUUUUCCUAUUAUUGUGCUUUUUAUAUAAUAAUUUUUUAAAAUUGCAUGAAUAAAAAAAUAUUUAAAUAUAAAAUCUUAUAAAAUAAAAAUAAAAAUUUAUUAAACAACAAAUAUGAAUUUUUUUGCUUUUAUAUUCUUUAUUAUUUAAAGUUUGUUUAUAUAGUUAUUGCACCAACAUUGGCUGACCAUGGAUUGAGCAAAACAUUUCCAAUAACCACUCAAUUAAUAUAAAGGAAAAAGAAAUCUAAAGAAGAGAUAAGAGAAAAGACUGGAGCACAUCCUCUCCACCACAAAGCUAAUAAGCAUCUUAUUCAAACAUAAGUUUGUCUUAUCAUAUCCGACGUCAUCAUCCAACCAAGGAAAUACAUUAUUAUUAUUAUUUUUUUAUUAAAAAAAAUAGAAAUUAAAGAAGAGACAUAAGGAAAUCACAUUCUUUAAUAUUAUAUUAUUAUUUCUUUAAUAUUUUUUAGAAAUGAAAUAUAUUCUUAUUAUUUGAAAAAUGAAUUCAAUUGAGUCUAAAUUCUUAAAUUUAUAAAGAAAAAUAGUAUGAUAUUGGAUAGGUAUUAUAUCAAGCUAAAAAUUUGGAUUCUUAAAACAUAUGAUUAAGUUUGAACUUUUGAAUAAGGUGGCCAACAAAAAAAUCAUAUAUAAUAUUAAAAAAAAAUUGAAAUGAAACUACAAAACAAUUUAAUCAUGAUUAUUAUUUUUGUUUAUCAAUGUGAUGAUUACCAUUUUUUGAUGUGACGUGAAAUUUCAAUGGGAGAAUUAUGUUUUGACGGGCCAAUUUGGGAAUAAUAACAUUUUCGGAACCGAACUUUCCAUAAUGCAAGAUAUGUCCACUGUUUGGAAAAAUAUUAAAGGAAACAUGCAUUCUGGCCUGAGGUGUUAUUUCAUACCGAAAAUACCCCUCCAUUGUUCAUCGUCCCUGUGAAAGGUCCCGAUAUUUCCUACCAGCCCACGCAAGAUGCAAAAUCUGUCCGAUAUUUUUUUUUUUUUUUAAAAAAAAAUUUGCAGGCAAAGGUUGGAUUUUUCAGCAUGGCUCAAAAAUCGUGGAUUUAGGGUUUGUGAAAUUUAAAUCCAAUGGCCCAAAAUCAAAGAGACCCCUAGAUCAGAUCAAGAAAACACAUGGAGGAAAAAAAAAGCACUUUUUUUUUUGUUUUUCUUGGGGAUUUUGCAUGGAUUUUGUCGGAAAUCAAACGAGGAUGGAUUUUCUCGGAAAUCAAACGAGGAUGAACUUUCCCGGAAAUCGAAUGGGGGAUGGAUUUUCUUGGGAAUCAAACGGGGGUUGCAAAAAAAAAAAAUAAUAACUUAGAUUAGAUUAGUACCUGCGAGGAUUGAGAAUGGCAGAGGAAAAAAUAGGGCUUUUUUUAGGGAUUCUCUCGUCUGGAGGCCAACUUCAGAGAAGGGCCUCGGAAAUCAAACGAGGAUGGAUUUUCCCGAAAAUCGAAUGGGGGUGGAUCUUGGGAAUCAAACGGGGGUUGCAAAAAAAAUAAAUAAUAACUUAUUAGAUUGGUACCUGCGAGGAUUGAGAAUGGCAGAGGAAAAAAUAGGGCUUUUUUAGGGAUUCUCUCGUCUGGAGGCCAACUUCAGAAAAGGGCCUCGGAAAUCAAACGAGGAUGGAUUUUCCCGGAAAUCGAAUGGGGGUGGAUUUUCUUGGGAAUCAAACGGGGGUUGCAAAAAUAAUAAUAAUAACUUGAUUAGAUUAGUAUCUGCGAGGAUUGAGAAUGGCAGAGGAAAAAAUAGGGCUUUUUUAGGGAUUCUCUCGUCUGGAGGCCAACUUCAGAAAAGGGCUCCUUGAUGCCCGAGUGAGAGACGGUGUCGUGAGAGACGGUGGCUGCUGACAGGACAACUAAAGGGCAAUUUUGGAAUAGCAUUUUAAAACAGUAGAUAGUGCAUGUUUCCUUUAAUAUUUUUCCAAACAGUGGACAUAUCUUGGAUUAUGGAAAGUUGGGUUUCGAAAAUGUUAUUAUUCCCAAAUUGGCCCAUCAAAAUAUAAUUCUCCCAAUUUCAAUCCUUGCUCUCCACCACACAAGUUCACGGUAGAGGGGACCACCUUCUAAGCUAUACCUAAGAGGCACUUUAUUUAAUGGCAAAUCUAAUGAAUAAAAUUUUAGAUCAUCUCCGGAAGACUUUUGUUAUUUUUUAACUUCUAUCUUCCUUGCAGUUGUAGAAAACACAUCUUCUUUGGAUUAUCAUCUGGUAUCAUAGUCAAGUUGAUCAGAUGGUUAUCUCAAUCCAACCUACCGUCCCACUUUUUCAAGGAAAUGGAUAUGAUAGUUGGAGCAUAAAGAUGAGGACUCUUUUUAUCUCCGAAGAUCUGUGGGAGCUUGUGGAUAAGGGUUAUGCAGAAGAGGAAAUUCCAAGAGAUGCUAUGAGAGAUGUACGAAAGAAUGAUGCCAAGGCAUUGUUUUUUAUUCAACAAGCAAUCACAGACAGCAUUUUUCCUCAAAUUUCAAAGGCAACGAAGUCUAAGGAAGCAUGGGACACUUUGCAAACAAAAUAUCAAAGCACAAGCCUGGUAUUAGUUACAAUGUAUUGAAUUUUUAGAUUCAGUCAAAUAAAGUAAAAUAUCUAUGUUUCCAACUAAUUCGUAAGAUUAGAAUGUGUUGUUCUAAGAAGGGUUCUGACUACAGCUUUAAAUUAAUGGGUUGUUGGAUAAUUUAUUUAGGAGUUUAUUUGAGUUUGGUUGCUUAUUUAACGGCAAGUGUUCAACUCAAUUAGAUUUCUUAUCUUUCAUCUUGAACUUUUUUUAAGUGCUUUAUUAUUUUUUAACUUCUCUAUGGUAGGAAGGCAUCUUUUUCUUAUUAUUGUAAAUGAUAUAAUGACAUAAUAGAUCAUAUAUCAGAUCACUUCACUUUAGUUGAAUUCACUUUUAUUUGGGAGGAUUGAAAGACCAAAUGAAUACUUAGGUUAUAUUUGGUUCCCAAAAGUAGGAAGAAAACAAUAAAAUAAAAUAAAAUGAAAUAUUAAACAAAAUUAUUUUUUCAUGUAUGGUUUUAUUAAGAAAAAAUUAAACAUAAUUAAAUUAAUUAAAAAAUUAUUUAUUUUUAAAUUAUUUAACCUUUAUACAAAAUAGUUGAAAUAACUUAAACGAGUUUGAAGCAAUGUAGAAAUAUAAUUAAUUAAUUUUCAAAGUAUUUUUUAUUUUCAAUUGUUUCUUCUACUCUUCUUCUUUUCUUUACAUUUUCCCUCAAAUUUCUUGGGUGCUUAUAACAACAGUGCAGAAUUGCUGAAUUAACUCGGGUUUUGAUUUGAAUUAGGUUGCAGCUCAAGAUGGAGAUGGCAGCCAAACUGACAUCCCAGUCAUGGAUGACUCUGUGUAUAAGGCAGCAGCGAAGGGCGACAUUGAAGUUCUGAAGAAAAUUCCAGAGUCCCAAUUUCAUGCCCAAUUAACCCCAAAGCAUAACACGAUACUCCACAUCGCAAGUGAAUUCGGUCAAACAGAGUGUGUGAAAUGGAUCCUUACGUUGCCUGCAUGUUCAUCUCUACUGCAAUGCCCUAAUCUGAACGGGGACACUGUGCUUCACCUUGCAGCAAGGGAAGGGCAUUUGAAGGUCGUGGAAGCUCUUCUAGAACCUACCCUAGAUAUUGAAACUGGAGUUGGAGAAGAUAAGGAGAUGUUGAUCGGGAUGACAAAUAAGGGGAAAAACACAGCCUUGCAUGAGGCAGUGCGAUUUAACCAUUCUGAUGUGGUGGAGUCAUUGAUUGAGAAGGACCCCAGGUUUAACUAUCGUGCUAAUGAUUCAGGUACGACUCCUCUUUACAUGGCUGCGGAGAGAGGACUUACAGGCUUGGUGGUACUAAUCAUAGACAAAAGUAGUACUUCACCCUCUUACCAUGGCUUAAUGGGUAGAACGGCCUUGCACGCUGCUGUAUUAUGCAAUAAUGAAGGUAGUAGACUCACAAUACUAAUGAUUAUGUUAUUUUCAUAUAUGUAGAUUAAAAGGGAACAUGCAUGCCUUCAUUUGUUUUGUUCAUUUGCUUAAUUUUCUUAAACUAUUUUCCUUUAUCUAUUAAUCAGCAAUGACAAAUAAGAUACUUGAAUGGAAGCCAGACCUCACCAAAGAAGUAGAUAAGAAUGGGUGGUCUCCACUUCACUAUGCUGCAGAGAGAGGUUGUGAUCUGAAAAUAGUGGAGCUAUUGCUAAGUAAGUCAGAAAAGAGUGUAGCCUACCUUAGGAGCAAAGAUGGGAAGAAGACUGCCCUUCAUAUUGCAUCUUUCCACCAUCAUACAAAAAUAGUAGAGGAGAUCCUAUCUCACUCUCCUGGUUGUCGGGAGCAGGUCGAUGACAAGGGCAAUAAUAUUUUUCACUUUGCCAUGAUGAAAAAGGGUGACCGGUACGAUGAUUUUAAGCCUAGUAAUUACUUCGACAAUAAAUGGUUAGGGUCAAGAGGACCUGUAAAUGGGCCAGGAGGAUUUGUAAAUGGGCCAAGAGGACUUGUAAAUGAGAAAAAUGCUCAAGGAAACACACCCAUCCAUCUGCUCUCUCUUAAUCAAAUUUCAGAUUCUUGGUUUGUAUGGAAUGAAAAAGUGGAUAAGAAGGCGUACAACAAUGAAGACUUGACAGGUUAUGACAUAAUUUUGAGGGCGGACAUUUCCGAGAAAAAGGUAAGGCUCGCACAUAACUUCAAUUAUAUGUUUAUUGGCAAAUGCUUACCACGUUUCUCAUUUCUUUGAGCUGUGUUAUGUUUUGUUAUUUUUGCUAUGUUUGGAUUCCUUCAACCUAAGCAUUAGCUAGUUUUUUAUUUAUUUUUUUUGUCUCCAAAGUUUCAAGAUGGGAUAAUAGAGAAAAGGAAAAGAAAGAAAUAGAGGAAAAAAAAUUACAAAAUGUUUAUUGCUUUUCAUUGUUUAUUGAGAAAUUAAGCAAAAGAAAUUUAAAUUUAAGAGGAAUGUACUUAGCAUAAACCUUUUUUUCUUAAAAAAAAAAAGGAAAUGGGAAGAAAAAUUGUUAGUGUCUUUUAUUUAGUAAUUUUUUUCUUAUCAUUUUUUCACUUGUAUCCAAAUGUUGAAAAAUAAAAAAAUAAAAGAAAACCAUUUUUAUUAAAAAAAAAUU
rnacentral:lncRNA from 1 species